UGCACACACACGCACAGUGUCAAUGUUUUAUAUACACGCAUACGUCAAAUUGUCGACGAUAUUCACUUCAUGUGACCUCUAAUAUAUGACCUCAGAUGGCCUAGAAUGGACUAGCUGUCACGGCUUCACUCAUAUGAAAGUUUUAAAAUUCUGCCUUAGUGAGAGCCAAUUACAGAAGGAACCCACAUGCAAGCUCUCAACUUUCUAGACGUAGCGGUUCGAACUAUGCGUUGAUAUAUCAGUCAGUCAGUUUCUCUUUUUAUAUGAACAUAGAUAUUGUGGCUAAUUCUGUUGUGCAAAUUUUCUAAACUAAAAUCAUAGGUCGAAAUGUAUUGCUAUCCUUUUCAUGAUCCUCCUUACGGAAAAGGAUAGCACUAGAUUUUGACUUGACAAUAUAGUUUAGAGAUUGUGUAUGAUAGAGUUAACUACAUUAUUUAUUAUGACAAUUCAAAGAAAGUAGAAUGAAGACUAAUUUCGGAGUUUAAUUUUACAAAUAAACUUUGUGAAGAUCACGAUAAUAUGUCAAAUUGUAAAGUUGUUAAAUACUGUCACGACGUACCUACACGAUCCAAAAAAAUUGACAGAUGACAGCCCACUGGAAUGACAAGAGAUUCAAGGCUUAAUGGAAUUUUGGAAAUCACGUCUGAAGUGAAUAUCGUCAACAUUUUUCAGGGUUCACUUAAUAAAAAUAAUGUUAAAACAGGAAUUCAUAUUAUGAAAACACACGGGAACAGUAGAAUUACUAUAAUACGAAAAAGUAGUCAGUUUUUAAUUUCAUGCUCACGCGUAUGACUUGCACCUUUGCAUUGGACGACUUUUUGCGCAGUUGAAGUAUUUAGACGCGACUAAACGAUCUGUGAAAGCGAUUAAGAUCUAUAGAGUGCAUUUGACUUUAAAACUUUGACACUUUGAGUUAAAACGAGACAGACUUAGGUGUCUGAUAUAAAUCCAUCUCGUUUUAACUCUGAGCAAAGUCAAAGUACUUACCCUCUAUAGAUCUCGCUGUCACUGCAUACGUUCACAAAUCCAAAAAUGUCGUAACGUGCAAAGGCGCGUAGUGCAUUCACAAACCUUUAUUCUUUGCAUUCAGUUAGUUCGCACACUCAUGCGUGAACGUUAGUAGAUUCGUACACAGAGUAAUAUUAUGAUAAAGAUGUUCAAACGCACAGUAAACAACAAUCAGAUAGUACGCCUUAUCCUCGCGUUUGGGACCCCUUCAGCUUAUCAGAAGGCCUAUAAUAAGCGAGACUGUUGAUAAGCAAAACCUUUGACUGCAUUUCCACUAGAGAUGUGCUAGAAGAUGCAGCGUAUUCACAACCAAUCUAGAACAGCUUCAUUUUCAUGGCUUGGCUAUCGUCUUCGUCGACGUUUCAACCGAUUGACAUCAACUGAACAUCAGUGUCACCACUUGUGUCCAGCGUCGACUGGCUUAAGAUCGUCUAAUUACGUAGUAGGGAGUCUUACAACGCUGAAUUUUCCAGGGCGGAUUCGCCAUUGAAGCGAUUUGGGAUUCCAACUAUCUAUCGGUUCUUCGAACUAUGUAUUGCCACUUCUGUGACUUGUUGAGCUACCUGGUUCUCCUAUUAACUUUCUUAUCUUGAUCUGAGGUGCCCUAAGAGGUGCCCUAAGAUAACCUUUUUUUGCAAGACAGGCUUGCGCUUGAUGCCUAGGUAUCAUACUUAAUCAAAAGGAUUGAUGAGAUCUAAGGUGAAGCGCACUUGUCUAGAAGAUGCCUAUUCCCUCUUGCUUUGAAAGUAUUUACGUUAUGUUGCAGGAAACACGGAUGCUGAAGGGCAUUCCACGUCUUAACUAAUGAAAAUGAAGCGAUCCUAUUGGUGGGAUUCAGAUAUAACCUGCUACGCAUCCUUGCACAUCAUUGGUGGAAAAACAAUUCCAAGUGUAAGGCCUGAGUCCCGCUCGAGUUAAGAUUUUAACGAGGUCAGGCGUGCGGCGAUCGUCUCAACCACAUGUUUACAAUGAGGCCCUAUUCUUUAUGACAUACAAAUCGUAACAACGCUACAAACUAUUAUCGAACGAAAAUGUAACAU